rnacentral:rRNA from 1 species
UACGUAGGGUGCAAGCGUUAAUCGGAAUUACUGGGCGUAAAGCGUGCGCAGGCGGUUGUGUAAGACAGAUGUGAAAUCCCCGGGCUCAACCUGGGAACUGCAUUUGUGACUGCACAGCUGGAGUGCGGCAGAGGGGGAUGGAAUUCCGCGUGUAGCAGUGAAAUGCGUAGAGAUGCGGAGGAACACCGAUGGCGAAGGCAGCCCCCUGGGCUAGCACUGACGCUCAGGCACGAAAGCGUGGGGAGCAAACAGG